rnacentral:rRNA from 1 species
AAACCUUGAUAGGAAAACCACAACCCCUAUCCGCCCGGGGACUACGAGCAUAAGCGUAAAACCCAAAGGACUGGCGGUGCUUAGACCCCCCUAGAGGAGCCUGUCUAGAACCGAUAACCCCCGUCGACCUCACCUUUUCUUGUCAUUCCGUCUAUAUACCGCCGUCGUCAGCAUACCCUGUGAAGGAAACAUAGUAAGCAAAACUGGUAAAACCCAAAACGCCAGGUCGAGGUGUGCACACGAAAAGGAAAGAAAUGGGCUACAUUUCCUACUUUAGGAAAAACGAAUUGUGUUAUGAAACAGCACAUGAAGGAGGAUUUAGCAGUAAGAAGAAAACAGAGUGUUCU